CAGUCGCCGCGGUAACACGAAGGGUGCAAGCGUUAAUCGGAAUUACUGGGCGUAAAGCGUGCGUAGGCGGUGAGUUAAGUCUGCUGUGAAAUCCCCGGGCUCAACCUGGGAAUGGCAGUGGAUACUGGCUCGCUAGAGUGUGUCAGAGGAUGGUGGAAUUCCCGGUGUAGCGGUGAAAUGCGUAGAGAUCGGGAGGAACAUCAGUGGCGAAGGCGGCCAUCUGGGACAACACUGACGCUGAGGCACGAAAGCGUGGGGAGCAAACAGGAUUAGAUACCCCGGUAGUCCCUGUCUCUUAUAC
rnacentral:rRNA from 1 species